GAUGCGUAGGCGGCCAGGAAGUGGAGCCACCUCCGUCUGCGAGUGGCGGCGCCAACACCGUUUUUACGCUUCCGCGAGGCCUAACCGUAGCUCUUCAGGCUCGCGGAGCGCUUUGUCUUCCGCCGCCGGCACCGUAUUCGGCGGGCUGAGUGAUUCCUCGUCCGGGCGCGACGAACCGCACACCAGCCCUAGGCAAAGAGGAGAAGUAGACUGUCGCCUUCUUGGUUGUUGCCGCUACUGAGGGGAGGACGGUAGCUGCGGAUGCGGCUUCUGAUGUUGGCGACGAAGCCUCUGGGGUUCACCUUCGCUGGUUGCUCCUUCACCAAUUCUCGCACAAACCAAGAGCAGGAACUCAACUUCACGGAACGGACCUCUCGCGUACCUCGGCGGACACGUAACAAACCAACCACUAGACCCCUUAGUUGACGUGCGGACCGGACCAUAUUCAGACCGUAGGGGAGACAUAGAUGUUUUCUCCUCAGCUACAUCAUUGGUUUGAUCGCUAUUCAGACCGUAGGGGAGGCAUAGAUGAUCGUAGAUGAUCAUCAAACGAUAGCAUAAAACGAUACAUCGAUACAACUUGUACGAUAGCUUGUUAGAUACAGAACGAUACAGCUUGAACCAUACAGGACAGGAUAAAUACAACUAGAUGCAGAACGAUAAAAGUGCAACGUACGUAACGUACCUAAACCCCCAAUCGUAUACUCCCCCUGCCGACACCUGCGCCUGUAAACUCCCCACUGGCCUGUGCAGGCUCCUAUAUAUCCCCGAGUUUAAUCAUGAUGGAGGCAAGGUUUAAUAUUCUACAAAACCUAUAAAGUUAUACCAGAUGUAUCUGACUUUACUCACUUGUUUGUGUGAUUUUGCGCAGAUAUAUGUAGGCUAAGAGUAAAAAAAUAUUCUAGAAUAUUAAACCUUACCUUCCCCAUGUAAGACCAACAUCUACGAGAUACAAUCCCAACAUUUGAACCAUUUGUCUAAGUCAAAAGAAUUACAAGUGGAGGCUCGAAGACUACCGCUCGGAGGAAUACUAGACUGAGUGAUAGCAGUAGAACAAUCAACGGAGAAGAUAGAUCGUAGAGGAUAGGUCAAGCGCAAGACCCAGUGGAGGAAGCCCAACAUGUAUAGAAAGCUUAGAGACCGGUGAAAGACGAAUUACACAGAAAAGAAUCAAUCAAAGAGUAACGGUCCUUCUGUUUCUUUGUAUAACGUUAAAGGGCAAACUCGUCUCCGGUACCAACGUUCGAUACCGAGAACACUGUCUCCACUGAACUAAUACCACCAAUGAACUCCUAAAAACAGAAAAACAAUGAUGUAACUGAGGAGAAAACAGAUUGUUGUGUACACGAUAACCAUAAAGAACUCUAGACCAUUUUCGUACUCGAGUUGUUUGUAUAACCAUACCUGCGAAUAUGAGGGAGGCAGGGUUUUAUUCACAGAGUUGAAACAUGAUCGAAAUCAUGUUUCAACAUGAUUCGAACUCUGUGAAUAAAACCCUGUCUCCCUCAUACUCUAUUAUCCAUGUUCUAGUCCAACGAGAAGUCAUACACGGAAGUCUCGAAGUCAACCUCCGGAACCCUUAUCUAGUCCUACGAAGGGAGCAUUUUCGAAGCGACUAGCGACGAUUCCGUGUCCCACGACUACUGCAGCGACUGUUGCUUCCGUUCCCGUAGUACGAUAAAACAGUCAUGUUCCCUUCGCUUCUCUUACCACUCCUGAGACCGACUAGAUGACUUCCUUCGACAUGCACUAUCAAAGAAAGAUGCUACUAACAAAAGAAGGACGGCUAAGGGUUCUCCUAGACCCCGGAGAAGGGUAACCUCCGUAUAUACAUAAGGACUCAUAUAGAACGUACAUGACAGAACAGUAUCGUUCGUUGAACCCUGGUCGAAGUCUGUUCAUCAUACAAAGUCAAAACUUGGUUUGAUCCGAUGAGGACGUUACUUACUUAGAGGGAAAACCAAACGUGUGUGUCACCUAACAUGACGACAAGGAAAAAAACCCGUUGACGCAUCUAUCAUG
rnacentral:rRNA from 1 species